GUUGGAUUCUUGAGAUGCGACAUUUGAUAAAAUUGGAUUCAUACGGAGAAGAUUAGCACAGCUCUUAUGUAAUGUUGUCGAUUUUAUUCCACAAGUAGAUAGAAUCUAA
rnacentral:snRNA from 1 species